CGUUUGUCUGGCUCCGCACUCUGGCACUAAGGGGCACCUCUGCCAGGUUAAAGGUGGCAGAAACUCUGAGGAAGUCAAAGUGCCUGAGCAUGUGGGCCACUUUCUCAGCGUUCCUCCCUUCAUUCAGGAAGUCCAACUCGAGAGGCAGGUUCUUCUUCGCUUCAUCCACCAGCCACAUGAAUUCAAAAUCUGGGAAAAGUUGCUUCACGGCCAGGACAAGCACCUGAAAGCCACCAAGCAACCUGUCAGCCAGUCAGCCCACGGCCCCCACCACGGAAGAGCUGAGCAGCCAAUAGCUGGACGGGAGAGAAGAGAUGAGACUUCCGAUCCCAGUGAGGGGGAUCCUGGGUGGAGGAAGGAGAGGAGGGAGGUCACCAUGAAGAAGUUGCCAUGAGAGGCUACGAGAGACAGAGACACCAUGGAAAGGACGGACGGAGCAGGAGCAGCCAGAGCAGGACCAAGAUGGCAGGUGGCUGGGAAGUAGGCCAGACUGGCAUAGUUGAGUUAAAACAGAUGAGAACCCCGUCCAAGGACAAUUAAUGCCAGAACAGCCAUGGUAUCACUACCUCAAGCAACAACAAAUGAGAAAACCCCUAGGGAACUUUGUUGUUGUUGUUUGAAAAGAAAAUAAGAGAGAGCGCAAGCCUUCUUUGGCAUCUGGAUGUCACCAGAGCUGAGCAGCUGUUUGGGAUCGACAAGGGACAGUACGUUAGAAGGACAAACCAGGAAGCUGAGGAAGCUACUGGACAACUAAAGAUGGGAAGAACCUUGGUGCUUACAAACCAUGGUGAGGUGUCAGAUCAGUCCACCUUG
rnacentral:lncRNA from 1 species